GCUGGGAGAAACCUGAUUACAGGAACUGCCCAGCUGAUUAGCACAGGUAGGCACCCCCUCAGCUGUCCCAGCUGAGCCAUUUCAUUUGUCCCCGCCUGGGCAUCCCCAGACCCAGUUGGGAGCUGCUGAGUAACUUCAGUUGUCACCUUCCAGAGCAGAACAGUUGCUAGUGAGUCCUGUGUCUCUGACCCCCAGGUUUGGUAGGGACCCUAAAGUGUUUCAGCCCCCAGGGUCCCCCAGACAUCCCUCGGCUCAGAGCUAGUCCUCCAUCAUCCAGAGCACCCCAGAGCACCCCACACCCCAUAUUGGGCACGAGACUGACCCAUAGGUAAGGGACAUGGGCUACACAGAAGGUGGGAUUUCUUCCCACAUCACUACCCAGAAGGGGGUGUGUGGGAGGACAGCAGCUAUGCACCAUGACUCAGACCAGCCUUGACCCAAGCCAUCCUCCACAAUAGCUCCAGAAAGGCCCGUCCUUGGAAGCCUUGCCUGGCCACACUCAGCCCACAGGGACGCUGGACAUACAGUCAGGGCGGCACGUGCGGCUGUCUGUCUGGGACCCAGGACAGCAAGGCCUGCCCCACCUCGGCCAGACAUGGGGCAUCAGCAUCCUGCCCCCCAUGCUGCUGGACUCCUGGGUUCUGAAGGAAACAUGCAAAAGGGAUGCUGGUGAGGCCAGGAGGUGCAUAACAGCACUGAGGGAGGGGUGCCCCAAGCUUGCUGUGGGGGAUGGACAGUGAGGAUCUGCGGGCACAGAGAGAGGGAUGUGGUGGCAGGG
rnacentral:lncRNA from 1 species